rnacentral:rRNA from 1 species
GACAGAGGUGCCAAGCGUUAGGCGGAAUCACUGGGCUUAAAGCGUGUGUAGGCGGAAUGGUAAGUACCUUGUGAAAUCCCACGGCUCAACCGUGGAACUGCUUGGUAUACUGCUUUUCUUGAGCCACUUAGGGGCAACCGGAACAAACGGUGUAGCGGUGGAAUGCGCAGAUAUCAGGAGGAACACCAAUAGCGAAGGCAGCUCGCUGGGACGGUACUGACGCUGAGGCGCGAAAGCGUGGGGAGCGAACAGG